AGCUUUGUGCAGUGGCAGAAUCGUAGCCAAUGAGUUUUAUCCAAGGCGUGAUUAUUGCUGUUUUAGAAAUGAUAAUAAUGAUUAUUGUUAUUGUUAUAAUUAUUAAACUACUAGAGGCCCUGUGCACGAAAUUUGU